GGGACACCGAGCUCCUCUACUUCUGCUCCAGAGGUCCGAAACCUCUAAUUUUAUACUUUUUCUUUGUUACAACUUUUUUUUUCUUUCUCUUGUACUGAAGAAUUAUUCAAUCAAUGAAAUCAGAUUCUUCUUUACAGAGAGCUCCUUUUUCUUCUUCUACUUUUUUUUUCUUUUUUUUCUUGCAAUGAUUUGCAUUGUGACGCUCUUGUUUUCCGACAAUA
rnacentral:lncRNA from 1 species